AAGUCGUAACAAGGUUUCCGUAGGUGAACCUGCGGAAGGAUCAUUAUCAAUUUGAUUCAUUCAAAAUCGUGUGAACCCUUCAACUGACUCCCACUGCUCUGGGGAAAAAGUCCGGCUUAGAUUUUAAGCAGGAUGUAUGGGCGCUUGCUGAGUUUCGGCUUAGCAGAGUCCAGCUUCCCCAGAGUACGGAUGACUUAACUUUAUGUUUAUCAAUGGCUUAAAUCCUUAGCUGACCUUAACAGGGACGCUAGCUUAAAAGUUAUACAACUUUCAGCAAUGGAUCUCUCGGCUCUU
rnacentral:misc_RNA from 1 species